rnacentral:rRNA from 1 species
AGAACGAACGCUGGCGGCAUGCCUAACACAUGCAAGUCGAACGAGACCUUCGGGUCUAGUGGCGCACGGGUGCGUAACGCGUGGGAAUCUGCCCUUGGGUACGGAAUAACAGCGAGAAAUUGCUGCUAAUACCGUAUAAUGACGUAAGUCCAAAGAUUUAUCGCCCAGGGAUGAGCCCGCGUAGGAUUAGCUUGUUGGUGAGGUAAAAGCUCACCAAGGCGACGAUCCUUAGCUGGUCUGAGAGGAUGAUCAGCCACACUGGGACUGAGACACGGCCCAGACUCCUACGGGAGGCAGCAGUGGGGAAUAUUGGACAAUGGGCGAAAGCCUGAUCCAGCAAUGCCGCGUGAGUGAUGAAGGCCUUAGGGUUGUAAAGCUCUUUGCCCGGAUGAUAAUGACAGUACCGGGAGAAUAAGCUCCGGCUAACUCCGUGCCAGCAGCCGC